rnacentral:rRNA from 1 species
ACGCUGGCGGCAGGCCUAACACAUGCAAGUCGAGCGGUAGCACAGGAGAGCUUGCUCUCUGGGUGACGAGCGGCGGACGGGUGAGUAAUGUCUGGGAAACUGCCUGAUGGAGGGGGAUAACUACUGGAAACGGUAGCUAAUACCGCAUGACCUCGCAAGAGCAAAGUGGGGGACCUUCGGGCCUCACGCCAUCGGAUGUGCCCAGAUGGGAUUAGCUAGUAGGUGGGGUAAUGGCUCACCUAGGCGACGAUCCCUAGCUGGUCUGAGAGGAUGACCAGCCACACUGGAACUGAGACACGGUCCAGACUCCUACGGGAGGCGGCAGUGGGGAAUAUUGCACAAUGGGCGCAAGCCUGAUGCAGCCAUGCCGCGUGUGUGAAGAAGGCCUUAGGGUUGUAAAGCACUUUCAGCGAGGAGGAAGGCGUUGCAGUUAAUAGCUGCAGCGAUUGACGUUACUCGCAGAAGAAGCACCGGCUAACUCCGUGCCAGCAGCCGCGGUAAUACGGAGGGUGCAAGCGUUAAUCGGAAUUACUGGGCGUAAAGCGCACGCAGGCGGUUUGUUAAGUCAGAUGUGAAAUCCCCGAGCUUAACUUGGGAACUGCAUUUGAAACUGGCAAGCUAGAGUCUUGUAGAGGGGGGUAGAAUUCCAGGUGUAGCGGUGAAAUGCGUAGAGAUCUGGAGGAAUACCGGUGGCGAAGGCGGCCCCCUGGACAAAGACUGACGCUCAGGUGCGAAAGCGUGGGGAGCAAAC